rnacentral:rRNA from 1 species
UACGGAGGGUGCGAGCGUUGUCCGGAAUCACUGGGCGUAAAGGGCGCGUAGGCGGCCUGAUAAGUAGGGGGUGAAAUCCUGCGGCUUAACCGCAGGGCUGCCUUCUAAACUGUCAGGCUAGAGCACAGUAGAGGCAGGUGGAAUUCCCGGUGUAGCGGUGGAAUGCGUAGAGAUCGGGAAGAACAUCAGUGGCGAAGGCGGCCUGCUGGGCUGUUGCUGACGCUGAGGCGCGACAGCGUGGGGAGCAAAAGGG